ensembl:lncRNA
GGGCUUCCGGUAGACGAGAAGGUUCUGUUGAGCGGGGAGAGGGGCGGUGGGGAUGGAUCGUUACGCGCCGCCGGUGGCGGGCGCGGUGCCUGUGCCCGACUUCAGGCAAAAUGAGGGUUCAUUAACAUCAACUUUACGAACACUUCUAUUCUUCACAGCUCUAAUGAUUACAUUACCUGUUGGGCUAUAUUUUUCAUCAAAGGCUUAUAUAUUUGAAGGUACCUUAGGAAUGUCGGACAGAGACAGCUAUUUUUAUGCUGCCAUAGUCGCUGUCGUUGCUGUUCAUGUGGUACUUGCUCUCUUUGUAUACGUAGCGUGGAAUGAGGGCUCUCGACAGUGGCGAGAAGGCAAACAGGACUAGGAUGAAGAUCAUUGUCAUCUGAUGCUUACAGACUGUAAAUCAGAUUUUUGUGAGCUGAAGAAAACACAUUCUUCACAAUGUAUAAUACAGAUGUACAAAGAGGAGGCUAAUGCCUCCACUCUGGUUAGAGUAAGACUUGUGCGCAUCCUGAAUGUGAAACAGUGUUUUCUCUAAUGCUGAUGGAAGUUAUUCUUUAGCCAGCCUCUGCUAGGUCGAGCUGAGGAGGUCUUCACCUGGAAUUGAAAUGAAAUUAUUUAUUUAAAAAAAAAAAAAAAUAAAAAAUCCUGUAGCUAUCUUUGUCAUUCCUAGUAUUUCUCUGGCUUGCUCUGAAAAUAAUAUUGUCAUGAAGCAAGCAUUUCUGAGUUUAGAAGUAAUUGCAAGAAUAGAAUGGGUUGGAAACUCAGGUGAUGUCUUUCUAAUGUGAAGUACAAAGGUUAUUUUUUUUGUUUGCUUGUUUUCAGGUGUAAUUUUUUAUUACAGUGUAAAAUUCAGUCUUUAAUUUCCUUUUAGGAGGACUGUUGCAUUAUUUCAUUGCUCAUCUUUCCACUCUUCUACAGUUAAUAUUGAUCAUGCAAAGGAAAUGGCAUAGCAUGUUUUUUUGUGUCUACAUUUAUACGUCUCCUUGAUAAUUGCUAAAGGUUGUAGUUGGAUUUCCUGGCGUGAAGUGGUGUCAGUAACAGCUAUAAGCCACUCUCAUGGCUAGUAGAUGAAUGAGCAAGAGAAAACAAGCGGUAGCCACCUGCAGACGUUGUCCUUUAAGAAGCAGAACAGAAAGAGUGAUCAUACGGAAAAUUUGCUUCUGUUCGUAAAUAUGAAGUUGUGCACUGUGAAAUGAUACAAUAUGUUGAUUGUUUUCUUUUUUCCUUGGUUGUGUGUAGCAACUCUCUGUAGCCAAACCGUAAUGAGAUUUUUGUGUUGCAGGAUAACCUGAAUUUCAUUCCACUGCAGAGCUGUUGUCGGCAAGCUUUUAGUGUGUAGGUAAAACAUUUCUCCUAAAGUUCUAGCAAUGCAUAGAACUUUCCUAACACUGAUGAGUGCUGUUAGGCGGCUGUGUUUGAGGCUUGAGGUCGUUCUGUUAACUGGAGUUUUCCAGUUUGUUGUUUUAGUUGAGCCAUUUUUGGAGGUCUUCUGCUCGAUAUUACCUGGGAAUGGUUUCGGUGCUGCAUUUGUCCAUGGUGAAAUUUUUCCUCUGGCCUUUGUGUCAUUUAUGGAUUAUGUUCCCACGUCUCAUUCCUCCCAUCUUCAUGCAGUCCCAGCUCUGCACAAGUGUCUACACCAUGUCACAGUCAUGCAAAUAGAUUUUUACAUUAUGUUGCUGAAAUGUGGACUUUUCUUGCCCGGGACCCCAUUGUCAAGUUGCUGCCAGCAAACUGGAGAAGGGUCUUGUAGCACUUGAAAUACAAAUUUAGGUUGUAAGUUGGCUUAUAGUGGAGAAUAAGUGGGAACAUAGCUGUUGUGCUUUACUAGCUGGGUCUCAUGCUAUAUGUGUUUUAUGUUUCACAUACCAGAAUCCCUAGACUGUUCAGUUACAAAAAUCUGAAAAGUUUGUGCUAUAAGAAUAGGCGCUGUAAUGUCUCAACUGUUGGGCUAACGAGCUGAACAUUUAUCCAUCCAUUGGAGCAUCUUCUCUAAAGAUAAUGCUUUGAUCCACAAUGUUCUCUGUGAGAAAAAAGGCAAUGCACUAGUCACUGCAUAGGAGCAGCUGUUGGAAUGGGUUUAUGUUGCCUGUGCCUGGGAGCUGAGACAACCACUCAGGUAAAUGGUGCAGUGGAAACAGUUGAAUGGUGGAAUUACAUCAUGACUAGAGAGCUCGAAGAACAGAAACUGCAGACAUGCAGUGUGGGGUGUACAUGGAGUAAACGAUGCCCUACUGGGACUCCUGUUGUGCCUUAUCAAUACUAAGAUUUAUUAUGUUUCAGGAGCUGUGUUGGGGUCCCUUCAGGUUGCAUAUUUCCUACCAUGUAUCUGAUGUUCUUGUUAAUGCAAAGCUAAUUCUCAUGGCAAUUUUUAAAUUGUUUAAUGGCCAUUGUAAUACUGUACUAUAUUGGGUUUGCAUGGCAAGGUUUUCGUAGCGGGGGGCUACAGAGGUGUCUUCUUUGAGAAGAUGCCAGAAGCUUCCCCCAGUCUCAUAGAGCCAAUGCUAGACAGCUCCAACACAGACCCCCUGCUGGCCAAGGCUGAGCCCAUCAGAAACAUCAGCCCUCUAACGAUCUUCAUAAAAAUCUGUUGUAUUUUCCAAAGCUAUAACUGAAACAGUAGUGGGAUGGGCUAUGUUUUCUGUGCAUCAGUGACAGUGGUAGCACCUUUGGGAUAACAUAUUUAAGAAGGGGAAAAAACUGCUGUGCAACAGCAGCUGGAGAGAGUAGUGAGAAUAUGUGAGAGGAACAGCUCUGCAGACCCCAAGGUCAGUGAAGGAGGAGGGGAGGAGAUGCUCGAGACAUUGGAGCAGAUACUCUCCUGAAGUUCAUGAUGUAGACCAUGGUGAGGCAGGCUCUCCCCCUGCAGCCCAUGGAGGUCAGUGGUGGAGCAGAUAUUGACCUGCAGCCCGGGGAGGACCCGAUGUCGGAGAAGGGGGGUGCCUGAAGGAGGCUGUGACCCUGUGGGAAGCCCACGCUGAAGCAGCCUGUUCUUGAAGAACUGCAGCCCAUGGGAAGGACUCACAUCGGAGAAUUUCAGAGGACUCUGCUUCAGGGGAGGGACCCCACACUGGAGUAGGAAAGUGUGUGAGGUGGAAGGAGCGGCAGAGACAAUGUGAUGAACUGACCACAACCCCCAUUCCUCCUGCACCACUGGAGGGGAGGAGGUGGAGAGAAUUGGGAGUGAAUUUGAGCCUGGAAAGAAGGGAGGGGUGGGGGGAAGGUGUUUUAUUUCUCGUUACCCUACUCUGAUUUGAUUGACAAUAAAUUCAGCUAAUUUCCCCAGGUCGAGCCUGUUUUGCCCAUGAUGGUAAUUGGUGAGUGAUCUCCCACCCAUGAGCCUUGUGUUGUAUUUUUCCCUCUCUUGUCUGGCUGAGGAGGGGAGUUGUUGGAGCGGCUUCGUGGGCACCUGCUAUCCAGCUAACAUCAACCCACUAUGUUACAGACAUGGUAACUGAUAAAAGAGAUCUUGUGGAGGUUAAUAGUUAAUAAUUAACAAUUAAUAAUCUUGUGGAGAGUAAUAUUCUGUUGCUUUGGUUUUUCUAUAAAAUGGCUAUGUAAAAUUUUAACAGUGUAGUACUUUAAAUUGGAACUGUAAGCUUGUUCAUUUUAUUACUAGGAAUGGAUUUGAGACAACUGUUAAGAUAAAAUUGGGAAUACUUGGUCUGCAUAAACCAUUCAGUACUUGAAAAUUGCCUCUUGCUUAGUGGUCUGUCCUUUGUUUGCGUAGGUUGACAGUUGGGCAGUUUAUCUAAAGCAAGAUUUGUAUCUAGGAGCAAGCAAAUACCUUGAGACUGAGAUUGUAGCAGAAAUUUUCUGCAAUGUUUUCCAAGGCUACAGACAAUUCAGGCGCUGGGAGGAAUUGAGAAGUGGAAAAUCAGUGACUACCCAAAAUUAGUUUAGUUUUCUUCUGGCUUUUUUAACUGCCUGCAGAACAUGGCAGGUGCCCAGCCUGCAAGUAUGCAGGUGAUCACCUUUGGUUUGUGCUUAGGAAUGCCUGACAUAACUAAUCUAUUAAUUGCUAGCACUGACUAGGAAGUCUCCAGAGAAAAUGGUGAUUGGUGAUCACAUUGUUAAUUUUGUCAUAUACUAACAUUGAUUAAUGUACGUGAACUUUAAACAGCCUUUACAAUAUAUUCGAAACAAAACAAAAUACUACCUACCUAGUUUGUUGUGUAAGAGAGCGCUUAAUAAUAACUAUGACUUAACAUUGAAAAACAAACAAAAAUCCACAAAAACCCAAACAAACCAACAUUCACCCCUCAAAACCGCAACCUCCUGCAUCAUUCUCACAGUGUGGGUUGUUGGAUGCUAUCAAACUGAUACGAAAAUAAAGGAUGUAAUUUUGCCAUGCUGCUAAUGCAGCAUGACAAACUAGAGGGCAGGGGUUUCUGCCUGGUUUCUGUAAUGGGAGAGGGGAAGUUGUGCUGGCUCGUGAACGGUAAAAUGCUUAAUGUUACUGCUGGGAAUAGUUCAGAUGAGUAAGAGAGGAGAAAGGAGAGAGCCCUUAAAGUAGUAAACUAAGCCACAUGUAUUACAAAAUAGCAUAAUAUGGGUAUGACUGGAAUUUGGAUAGGCUGCAGCCCAUGGGAUGUGGGGGGGAAGGGUCCUGUGGAGCAAAGGAAUGAACUGGGGAGGUGGGGUGGAGAUGAGGUAGGGCGAGGACUGGAAUGUGCUGGCACAGCUUUGCAUGUGAUGACUGAGACACCAUGUGCUUUUGUUCAGAAGUGUUUAUUCCACUGUUCUCCAGGGGAUUAUGCAGAGCCAUUGAUCUGAAAUAUUAAAUGUCAAUCACACAAAAUGGCAAGCCAGUUCCAUUUUUAACUUCCAACUAAAGCUGUUCAUGGGUUGACAGCUUUGGAGUGUGUGAUCUGGGCCACACAUACUCAGCUUUGUCUUGUACGAACUAGCAUUGUUACUGGCUCUGAGUCAUCUCUUAGAGCAGGGACAAGCGCUUGGAGUGUAAAUAUUUCUUUAAAAAUAGCAAAGAGCAACUGUCACUCUAAUGUUUCAUUAGCUCUAAUCAACUAUCAGGAGACACACGGGCUUCACAGGGAUAAGUGCUUGCCGUUUCCCUGCAAGGGGAGGCUCUUAUGUGCUUGAAUGGGGCUUGCAAGAAGGAAAUGCUGUGCAGUUUGGGCCACCCACAGUCAUUCUCUUACCUUUGUGGUGAAGAACGACCAGGGAGAAGAACUUGGAAAGGCAAGUAGUUGACUUAGUGACUGUCCAGCUGAAUGCCUGGGACUGAGUUUUCUUGGAGCUGGUUUGCUGUCGUGUCUCACAACCCUCUCUGUCCUAGUCGCUUUGGAUAGCACAUUGUUGCCAAGAUGAUUCCCUGUGGAUGCCCAGUGUUUCCAGGAGUGAUCAGGUGCUUACUUGUGACUGCUUUUACACUAGUACAAACUACUCAUGGGCCUGGAAAAAAGCUGUUGAUUCUUGUAAUUGGCACAUGACACACUGUGGUUUAAUAUUUUUAGUGUAAAUGGCCCAGGACUUAGGCACAGGGGGGUGUUAUUAGUUAAAACUGUUUUUAAUUGAAGGAUGAUUUAUGACUGGGAGUUAACAGCAGUCAAAAAUCAAAACUUGCUGUGGGUCUGGGCCUGUGCUGCAGGCACCAUUGAAGAGCCAGUUAAUACCUUUGCAGUUCUUCAUCCUCAAGAUGCAAAGUUUCUCUUAACUAACUUGACUCAUAACAGCUCUGCUGAUGUUGGAGAUCAUGUAGAAGAACCAAAGUUUAGCUCCACAGUUGGAAUGCUUCAUACAGCUCUUUCAAGGGAAUGAGUUUUUGUGUAGAUGGUUUUGUGUCUGACAGAGAAGACAGAACACACUUUGCUCUCAAACCUUAUCACAGUUUGAACCCUUCUGUAGAACAAUUCCUAUAGAAGUAGCAAACAUUGGAUGAGUCUUAAUUUGAAGCAUUAUGAUAGAGCUGUUUCCUUUAGAAGCUCGUGUUGCAUCCUGGGGGGUUGGUCCCUGUUCUGAAGGUCCUGUCCCCUUUGCUGAACCAAGAUCUUUCUCCAUCUGGCCUGGGUCUCCUUUGAGAACCUUGUGCAACUCUCUUCCCACCUUCUCAGGUGGGAGUAGCUCUGGUCCCUACCAUGGGAACAUUUAUCCCUGCACUUCCCUCCCUGUGUGCUCAUGCUCCCUUCAUGCUGCUCCAUCACCACCCCUGCCUGACUCCCGUGCACAUCUGCAACAGUUGGACUUGAUGAUCUUAAAGGUCUUUUCCAAUCUAAAUGAUUCUAUGGUUCUGUGUUGUCAAUACAGCAUUUUUUCUCCCAGUGUAAAGUAUGCUUUGAUCAAACCCAAACCAAAGGUGAUUCUGAUGAUUUGGGUGUUUGAACUGGUUUGAUGGUUAUUGGUGUGUUAGGUGCAGCUAGCUGUGUUUAAAUGUCGAGUGGCUGUAGCUCAUCAUCUGCAGGUUUAGCCCAACAUCCCUGAGACUUCCUGAGUGGAUAUCAAAUUCUGUGCUCCGUGUGUUUAAUAGAGGGUCCUCUGUUUGCCUUAACGCUUAGUGGCUUCCACAGGGUUAUUAGAAAUAAUCCUGAAUAGAAGCUGUUUCACAGCUCCUAGUUUUACUAAUUGAAAAGUGGAUCUUUAUUUCGUUUAUAUAUGUGAAAUAAAAUUAACAAUGACACCUC